CUGUUUUCUCUACAGUCAGAGCUCGCGAAAGAAGGUGGAACGUAAGCGAGACACCAUUUCCAAAACUGGUAAGGGCGUAAUAACUAGUUUGUGAAAGACCCAGAGAAACACAAAUAUACGACGAAGCAAAAUCCCGGACGUUUUUGGAAUCUCUGCCGGACGCAUUUUUAAGGUCUCAAAAAGAGGACAUGUCCGGGGAAAAGAGGACGCUUGGUCACCCUAAUUAAACAGUCUGAUAACUCUGUCCUCGCAGCAGCUAACGAUAGCUCACCGCUUGUGUAGCUACAGCAGCUAGCUAGCCAUCUACCUUCUAUUCGUAUGUAUUUUUCUACACAAUAGAAAAGCGAUGUGCUCUCGUGCCUCCUGCAGCUCUUCUGUGUUGCACGUCAAUACUUUGAGACAAACAAGGAGCGUCAAUCUAACGUAAAUGCUUUUCAAUAAAUGUCUUUAGUUCCUGCACAAUGAACAUGAAUCUCAAAUUAAAUUAUUAAUAUUCCCCAAAUUCCAAUUAACUACACUUCCGCUGUUACAGAGGGGAAACACUGUAAUCAUACUGUAAACUUUCAAAAGUUCAUAUGUUGUGCAUAGUUUGAAGUGAAAAAAAACUUUUCUUCAAUUGUGUUUGGGUUCAGGCUCUGUUUAGGAUCGGUAUCGGAAAAACCCAAACGAUACUCAUCCCUACUCUCAUGCGCGCUCAACGUGAAGCUAAAGCCAGCCGCUGGUUAGCUUAGCAUGAAGGCUGGAGACAAGAGGGCUUAAAAGGGAUGUUUAAAAAUCCGGAUUCAACAGUUUACAAAUUUCCGACUUGAUGAAACAAUGGACAAAAAUCGUUCUUUAUUUAUUCUUAAAGUGUUUGCUAUCAAGAUCAAGAUGGGGUCAUAGAAAAAAACAAGUAGAGCAAAGUGUUUUAUGCACCAUGUCAAGUGGAUGAGCUCUAUCAAUACAAAUACACCGUCCACACACACACAUUUACUCUAAAGGCUCAUUUGCAUAUUGUACCGUCACUGUAACCAUAGAGACGUUACAUCAUGAUGUCUCCAUGUUCCAUGUUCCAUGUUCUAUGCUCCGUUCACCACAGCAUAAGAACACAGUUUGUUGCACAUCCAGUCAGUCAGUCAGUUUCAAACCUCGCAUCUACACACUGAAGUUUUCCGGACCUACACUUGCAGAAAGCAACCAUGUAAUGCCUCAGGAGUCUGUAGAGGGGACGAAGACGCAUUCUGCUGCACUUAACAGAGCUCAAGACCAACGAGACGCCAUCAGGACGCCAUCAGGACGCCACGUCAACGGGACGCCAUCCGGACGCCACGUCAACGGGACGCCAUCAGGACGUCACGUCAACCCCUCAGGAGCAAAUCCAGAUCUACGCAUGACACACACACACACACACAGAUGUACACACAGACACACUAACAUUUGGUUCUAAACAAAGACACACACUAACAUUUAGAUGUACACAAAGACACAUUAAUAUUAGAUGUACACACAGACACACUAACAAUUAGAUCUUAGAUCUCCUUGUCUGCAGGCCAACAGGACGCCAUCAGGACGCCACGUCAUCGGGACGCUACGUCAUCGGGACGCCAUCAGGACGCCACACCAACAGGACGCCAUCAGGACGCCAUCAGGACGCCACGUCAUCGGGACGCUACGUCAUCGGGACACACUAACAAUUAGAUGUACACAAAGACAUAUUAAUAUUUAGAUGUACACACAGACACACUAACAAUUAGAUGUACACACAGACACACUAACAACAUUAACAUGUUAAUAACUUUUCUUCUUUUCUCUCUUCUCAGGAACUGCUUCAGAUGUUUUCCCAAUGAUUGCGUUAUUAUUAUUGUUAAAUAUGUUGUUUAUUAUUAUUGUUUAUAAAUAUCUGUUUAUUAUUUUAACAAUGAAAAUAAAUUUUAAUAAAAA
ensembl:lncRNA